GAUUAAGUUAUUAAGGGCGCACGGUGGAUGCCUUGGCACUAGAAGCCGAUGAAGGACGUUACUAACGACGAUAUGCUUUGGGGAGCUGUAAGUAAGCUUUGAUCCAGAGAUUUCCGAAUGGGGAAACCCAGCAUGAGUUAUGUCAUGUUAUCGAUAUGUGAAUACAUAGCAUAUCAGAAGGCACACCCGGAGAACUGAAACAUCUUAGUACCCGGAGGAAGAGAAAGAAAAUUCGAUUCCCUUAGUAGCGGCGAGCGAAACGGGAAGAGCCCAAACCAACAAGCUUGCUUGUUGGGGUUGUAGGACACUCUAUACGGAGUUACAAAGGACGACAUUAGACGAAUCAUCUGGAAAGAUGAAUCAAAGAAGGUAAUAAUCCUGUAGUCGAAAAUGUUGUCUCUCUUGAGUGGAUCCUGAGUACGACGGAGCACGUGAAAUUCCGUCGGAAUCUGGGAGGACCAUCUCCUAAGGCUAAAUACUCUCUAGUGACCGAUAGUGAACCAGUACCGUGAGGGAAAGGUGAAAAGCACCCCGGAAGGGGAGUGAAAUAGAACCUGAAACCGUGUGCUUACAAGUAGUCAGAGCCCGUUAAUGGGUGAUGGCGUGCCUUUUGUAGAAUGAACCGGCGAGUUACGAUUUGAUGCAAGGUUAAGCAGUAAAUGUGGAGCCGUAGCGAAAGCGAGUCUGAAUAGGGCGUUUAGUAUUUGGUCGUAGACCCGAAACCAGGUGAUCUACCCUUGGUCAGGUUGAAGUUCAGGUAACACUGAAUGGAGGACCGAACCGACUUACGUUGAAAAGUGAGCGGAUGAACUGAGGGUAGCGGAGAAAUUCCAAUCGAACCUGGAGAUAGCUGGUUCUCUCCGAAAUAGCUUUAGGGCUAGCCUCAAGUGAUGAUUAUUGGAGGUAGAGCACUGUUUGGACGAGGGGCCCCUCUCGGGUUACCGAAUUCAGACAAACUCCGAAUGCCAAUUAAUUUAACUUGGGAGUCAGAACAUGGGUGAUAAGGUCCGUGUUCGAAAGGGAAACAGCCCAGACCACCAGCUAAGGUCCCAAAAUAUAUGUUAAGUGGAAAAGGAUGUGGCGUUGCCCAGACAACUAGGAUGUUGGCUUAGAAGCAGCCAUCAUUUAAAGAGUGCGUAAUAGCUCACUAGUCGAGUGACACUGCGCCGAAAAUGUACCGGGGCUAAACAUAUUACCGAAGCUGUGGAUUGUCCUUUGGACAAUGGUAGGAGAGCGUUCUAAGGGCGUUGAAGCAUGAUCGUAAGGACAUGUGGAGCGCUUAGAAGUGAGAAUGCCGGUGUGAGUAGCGAAAGACGGGUGAGAAUCCCGUCCACCGAUUGACUAAGGUUUCCAGAGGAAGGCUCGUCCGCUCUGGGUUAGUCGGGUCCUAAGCUGAGGCCGACAGGCGUAGGCGAUGGAUAACAGGUUGAUAUUCCUGUACCACCUAUAAUCGUUUUAAUCGAUGGGGGGACGCAGUAGGAUAGGCGAAGCGUGCG
rnacentral:rRNA from 1 species